rnacentral:lncRNA from 1 species
GAGCAUCCAACUGAGCACGAACCACGGGACCAAUCAUCAUCUAGGGUGUAGGGCCUUCAACUACUACAUCUUUCAUAAAGUUCUUCAUAUCUUGUCUGAAUGGAUGGUCAAGAGGGAGGAAUUGUCGAUGUUUGUUGAAUGAAGAAUACUUGCCAUCCUUUGUCAACCAAAUGAACAUCAGAGACGCCUUGCAUACUGGGCAUGGGAACUUCCUGUGAAC